rnacentral:rRNA from 1 species
AGCGAACGCUGGCGGCGUACCUAACACAUGCAAGUCGAACGAGGAUCAUAGGGUUAGCAAUAACUCUGUGGCUCUAGUGGCGCACGGGUGAGUAACACGUGGGUAACCUGCCCUUGAGACUGGGAUACCCCCUCGAAAGGGGGGACGUAAUACCGGAUACGUUCCUCGGAUCGAAAGGUUUGAGGAGGAAAGGUGGCGAAAGCUGCCGCUCUUGGAGGGGCUCGCGGCCUAUCAGCUAGNGGCGGGGUAACGGCCCACCAAGGCUAUGACGGGUAGCUGGUCUGAGAGGACGACCAGCCACACGGGGACUGAGACACGGCCCCGACUCCUACGGGAGGCAGCAGUGGGGAAUUUUCCGCAAUGGGCGAAAGCCUGACGGAGUGACGCCGCGUGUGGGACGAAGGCCUUCGGUCG